GUAGGAGGCGAGCGUUAUCCGGAUUUACUGGGCGUAAAGCGCGUGCAGGCGGUCUGGUAAGUUGGAUGUGAAAGCUCCUGGCUCAACCGGGAGAGGUCGUUCAAUACUGCCAGACUCGAGGACGGUAGAGGAGAGUGGAAUUCCCGGUGUAGUGGUGAAAUGCGUAGAUAUCGGGAGGAACACCAGUGGCGAAAGCGGCUCUCUGGGCCGUUCCUGACGCUAAGACGCGAAAGCGUGGGUAGCGAACGGGAUUAGAAACCCCGGUAGUCCACGCUGUAAACGAUGCAAACUUGGUGUUGGUGGCGUAAAAACCUUCAGUGCCGAAGCUAACGCGAUAAGUUUGCCGCCUGGGGACUACGAUCGCAAGAUUAAA
rnacentral:rRNA from 1 species